AGUCAGGUUACGAGGUUUUUGGAGAGAAACCACAUCAGAUGUAAUGAAUCAAGCUCGGUUUGGACAUUUGACACUGACUCUACAACAGUGCAUUCCAAAUGACCUAAACAACGCUGGGCAAAGUAGGCAACUGUCACAGGGCCCAGACUCCAGGGGGCCCAGAAGCCCUUCACUUAAACAUCCAUUCAUCAGACAGCCUGCAUUUUCUCCAGCGGAGCCUGUGGAGCAGCCAGAGAGGCCGGCAGGACUGUGAUCUGCUAUGCACAAAAACGUGAGGCAGAGGAAUGGGAAGGGAAAGGAGAGAAGAGAGGAGCUGUGUCAGAGCUGUCUGCGCGGAGGCCUUCAACACUGUCAACAACACAGCGCUCUGAUGGAACCAGGCCGACUGCCGCCGCCGCUGCUGCUGCUGACGGAGCUGAGGCUGAUACCCAGGUUGACACUGACCCAAGCUGUCAGGACCUCCCAAGGGGUGGCCCGCUGGGUCAGAACCACCAAUCAGGGGCUAACAAGUCCUGGAGAGGCAGAGGAAAAAAUCAAAACCAGACCCUGCACUGAGCUGAGAACUGCUCUCUUUAGCAUCAACUCCAAUUCACUCGGUCUUCAAAGGAAGUCUGGGAUGAUAAUAACUGCC